AUCCAGCUGUGACGAGUCCCAAAUAGGACGAAGUGACGCACGUCCUGGAU
rnacentral:hammerhead_ribozyme from 1 species